UGUUUGUUUGUUUGCGUGACAGAAGGUGUGUCACCAUGACGACAGCAGUGUUUGUUUGUUUGCGUGACAGAAGGGUGUGUCACCAUGACAACAGCAUUGUUUGUUUGUUUCCGUGACAGAAGGGUGUGUCACCAUGACGACAGCAGUGUUUGUUUGCGUGACAGAAGGGUGUGUCACCAUGACGACAGCAGUGUUUGUUUGUUUGCGUGACAGAAGGGUGUGUCACCAUGACGACAGCAGUGUUUGUUUGUUUGUUUGCGUGACAGAAGGGUGUGUCACCAUGACAACAGCAUUGUUUGUUUGUUUCCGUGACAGAAGGGUGUGUCACCAUGACGACAGCAGUGUUUCAGUGUUUGUUUGCGUGACAGAAGGGUGUGUCACCAUGACGACAGCAGUGUUUGUUUGUUUGCGUGACAGAAGGGUGUGUCACCAUGACGACAGCAGUGUUUGUUUGUUUGUUUGCGUGACAGAAGGGUGUGUCACUAUGACGACAGCAGUGUUUGUUUGUUUGCGUGACAGAAGGGUGUGUCACUAUGACGACAGCAGUGUUUGUUUGUUUGCGUGACUGAAGGGUGUGUCACCAUGACGACAGCAGAGAAGCGCGAGCCGGAUCCGAGUGAUGCACCGAUGAAAGCGUAGCUCAUCUCGUGUUCUAGUGCUGUGAAUCUGCCUUACUGUUCCUCGGACUGGAUUCUGUGCCUUCAUUUAGUAACGGUAGCAUAUAUCUGUGUGUGUGUGUGUGUGUGAGAGGAUGAUGGCCACUGUGUUUCUCUAAUGCAGAAGAUGGUCUGUGUUUAUUCAUCUGCUGGAAUAAAACAAUUAUGGACCUUC